AAAGACCCCGUGAACCUUUACUAUAGCUUGACACUGAACAUUGAGCCUUGAUGUGUAGGAUAGGUGGGAGGCUUUGAAGCGUGGACGCCAGUCUGCGUGGAGCCGACCUUGAAAUACCACCCUUUAAUGUUUGAUGUUCUAACGUGGAUCCGUAAUCCGGGUUGCGGACAGUGUCUGGUGGGUAGUUUGACUGGGGCGGUCUCCUCCUAAAGAGUAACGGAGGAGCACGAAGGUUGGCUAAUCCUGGUCGGACAUCAGGAGGUUAGUGCAAUGGCAUAAGCCAGCUUGACUGCGAGCGUGACGGCGCGAGCAGGUGCGAAAGCAGGUCAUAGUGAUCCGGUGGUUCUGAAUGGAAGGGCCAUCGCUCAACGGAUAAAAGGUACUCCGGGGAUAACAGGCUGAUACCGCCCAAGAGUUCAUAUCGACGGCGGUGUUUGGCACCUCGAUGUCGGCUCAUCACAUCCUGGGGCUGAAGUAGGUCCCAAGGGUAUGGCUGUUCGCCAUUUAAAGUGGUACGCGAGCUGGGUUUAGAACGUCGUGAGACAGUUCGGUCCCUAUCUGCCGUGGGCGCUGGAGAACUGAGGGGGGCUGCUCCUAGUACGAGAGGACCGGAGUGGACGCAUCACUGGUGUUCGGGUUGUCAUGCCAAUGGCACUGCCCGGUAGCUAAAUGCGGAAGAGAUAAGUGCUGAAAGCAUCUAAGCACGAAACUUGCCCCGA
rnacentral:rRNA from 1 species